AUUGAACGCUAGCGGGAUGCUUUACACAUGCAAGUCGAACGGCAGCGCGGACUUCGGUCUGGCGGCGAGUGGCGAACGGGUGAGUAAUGUAUCGGAACGUGCCCAGUAGCGGGGGAUAACUACGCGAAAGCGUAGCUAAUACCGCAUACGCCCUACGGGGGAAAGCAGGGGAUCGUAAGACCUUGCACUAUUGGAGUGGCCGAUAUCGGAUUAGCUAGUUGGUGAGGUAACGGCUCACCAAGGCGACGAUCCGUAGCUGGUUUGAGAGGACGACCAGCCACACUGGGACUGAGACACGGCCCAGACUCCUACGGGAGGCAGCAGUGGGGAAUUUUGGACAAUGGGGGCAACCCUGAUCCAGCCAUCCCGCGUGUGCGAUGAAGGCCUUCGGGUUGUAAAGCACUUUUGGCAGGAAAGAAACGUCGCGGGCUAAUACCCCGUGGAACUGACGGUACCUGCAGAAUAAGCACCGGCUAACUACGUG
rnacentral:rRNA from 1 species